rnacentral:snoRNA from 1 species
UUGCGAACUCAGUCACUAGCUCUGUAUGAUGUUACGGAAAGAAGGGGGAACCAGGUUUGCUAAAGUAAUUGUGAUAGAUAUGAUUUUACCUCAGGAGCUGCUGAGGUGGCCUGUUCAAUUCUAAUAUGGUA